UGUUAAAAAUUUCAUCUAAUUCUAAUGUUAAAAAUUGACGUGGCUAAUAGAAUAACCAGAACACAUGGUAUGCCAUGUGUACAUCAUGUUGACAUACAAGAAUUAAUUUUUAACAAUAAAAAUGGAAGAAAUUUUUAACA
rfam:Gossypium hirsutum cultivar TM-1 chromosome 16, whole genome shotgun sequence